rnacentral:rRNA from 1 species
UGGGGAAUCUUGGACAAUGGGCGCAAGCCUGAUCCAGCCAUGCCGCGUGAGUGAAGAAGGCCUUCGGGUUGUAAAGCUCUUUUUACCAGGGACGAUAAUGACGGUACCUGGAGAAUAAGCCCCGGCAAACUUCGUGCCAGCAGCCGCGGUAAUACGAAGGGGGCUAGCGUUGUUCGGAAUUACUGGGCGUAAAGCGCACGUAGGCGGAUUGUUAAGUCAGAGGUGAAAUCCCGGAGCUCAACUUCGGAACUGCCUUUGAUACUGGCAAUCUCGAGUCCGGAAGAGGUUAGUGGAAUUCCCAGUGUAGAGGUGAAAUUCGUAGAUAUUGGGAAGAACACCAGUGGCGAAGGCGGCUAACUGGUCCGGUACUGACGCUGAGGUGCGAAAGCGUGGGGAGCAAACAGGAUUAGAUACCCAUGUAGUCCCUGAGCGGGCUGGCAAGGCGCAU